rnacentral:rRNA from 1 species
UGGGGAAUUUUGGACAAUGGGCGAAAGCCUGAUCCAGCAAUGCCGCGUGUGUGAAGAAGGCCUUCGGGUUGUAAAGCACUUUUGUCCGGAAAGAAAUCCUUGGCUCUAAUACAGUCGGGGGAUGACGGUACCGGAAGAAUAAGCACCGGCUAACUACGUGCCAGCAGCCGCGGUAAUACGUAGGGUGCAAGCGUUAAUCGGAAUUACUGGGCGUAAAGCGUGCGCAGGCGGUUUGCUAAGACCGAUGUGAAAUCCCCGGGCUCAACCUGGGAACUGCAUUGGUGACUGGCAGGCUAGAGUAUGGCAGAGGGGGGUAGAAUUCCACGUNUAGCAGUGAAAUGCGUAGAGAUGUGGAGGAAUACCGAUGGCGAAGGCAGCCCCCUGGGCCAAUACUGACGCUCAUGCACGAAAGCGUGGGGAGCAAACAGGAUUAGAUACCCUGGUAGUCCACGCCCUAAACGAUGUCAACUAGUUGUUGGGGAUUCAUUUCCUUAGUAACGUAGCUAACGCGUGAAGUUGACCGCCUGGGGAGUACGGUCGCAAGAUUAAAA